CAUAGCUUGACGGAGCGCGAGUAACAACUCGCUGAGAUCGCCUAAAUUCUAUAUGCAAAUAUGGCAUUUGAGGGUGAGUACCGUUGAACCUGAUCAGGUUAAGACCUGCGUAGGAAUCAAGCCAUCAAAAAAC
rnacentral:ncRNA from 2 species